AGCGCAGUAGUUAAUAUUUAAUGUUUGUUUUACACACAAAAGAUGAAGUAAGAUUUUGAUAUACUUCCAGCGCCA
rnacentral:tRNA from 1 species